CAAUUAGAAUUUUUAAUGCAUCACUUAAUGUAUCACUUAUGAUAGAUGGAAAUGUUGUAUGACCAUGAAGGGAAUAAUGUGAUGUAGUAUUGCAGCCUCCAGGAGAGCUCUGCCUGCAGGAUGCCAUUGUCUUAUUACAGGGCUCCCACACAAAAUUAGAAGCAGGUCUAUGGUGAUGUACAUACAGUUCUUCAACUUUUUCUUUUUGGGAGAUGAGAUAAUGGAUCGGAUUUGUGGCCUUUUUGUUAUUAUUCAGCAAUGUUCAAACAAACUUUCCCCUAUAGUAAACAAGAUCCACAGUACAAACGUUCUUAAAUCUCCUCAAAUAUUCGAUUCAUCUGUGUUGUAGCAUGCAGGGUGAAAACCAGUUCUGAUACUAAAAUGAACACUAUCUAGUAAUAGGCCUCGGGGGGAGGUGUUCUAAUGUGCUGUAAACAUAGAAAUAAAUAGAUUCUGAGUACAGAUUAUAAUUCCAAAUGAGGACGGGACUGAUGUGAGUGAUGACAAUCUCUGUAUAGCGCUGCAGAACUUAAAGGGAUUGGUCCAAGAAGGCAGGAUAAAGGUGAGAUGUUUAUUAAAGAGUUGUACCCAUCCAUUGGCUACCUCUAGAAAAGCCCUUUUAAAACUUUCUGGUGGGUUUUCAGGGCAUGGACAAAAAUCUCAUCUUGUGAGCUAUGGGCCAGCUCAAACUGAGAAAUUCUGCUUAGGGAAAUUCCGUGUGUAUAUUCAGAGUCCAGCAGGUGAUGACGGCAAUGCAGUCCAUGCGUGAUUCUGCUGAAGAAAUUGAAAUUUUUUGACUGAAUCUAAUUGACGCGUCACGCAUGGGAAGCUGCUGCAAUCAAGCUCCGAGCAGAAAUUCCUGGCAGAAUUUCUCAGUCUAAACUGGCCCUUGCACCAAUGUCACUUUUAUGUAUUUCUAAAGCUUUCACAACAUUCUGGGCUUUAAAUAAAAAGAUUGUAUGAGACUAGAAAAACAUGGCUGCCUACUUCCCAAAUCAGCACCGUUGUUGCCCAUGAGCUGUGUCUGUAUUGCAGCUUAGCCAAGUUCAAGAGAGUUAAGCAGCAAAACCAGACACAGUCACAUGCUGGCACUUAAGGUUAGUGAUUUUCAUGUGCAUUUUGCAAAUACAGGCACAUAUAAGAUUAUUAUUAUAUAAGAAUAUAUAUCUCCUGCACUUGCUACCCUGAUGCCGAGCAGCUACCCUCUUUUGCCUGCACAUAUAAGAGUAUAAUGGUUGAGAUUUAUCAAAACCGGUGUAGGGGAAGAGUAGUGCAGCGGCCCAUAACAACCAAUCAGAUUGCUUUUUUUUUUUUUUUUUUAAAUACCUCUGAAAAAUAAGUAAAGCAAUCUGAUUGGUUGCUAUAGAAAACUGCACCAC